rnacentral:lncRNA from 1 species
CAUCCCGCAGGGAAGAAGUCGGCGAACGCCAAGGAACCAAGGUUAGUCUCUGACUCGAGCACCAACUCUUCUACUCUCUCCAUAUCGACAAAGUCACACUCGUGGAAGUUCUGUCCAAAAGCUAGUCUACAAAUGAUGCUGGCUGCGAAGGAGAAAAUGACUUUCCUCAGAUUAACUGAUGAUGAGGUUUGUGUCUCAUCAGCAGCUUUUGAUGAUACCUUCUUGACCAACACUUCGCUCUCUUCCUCUCUAAUGUACCUGAAAGACUUGAGUUUCUUCUGGCUAAAGAGCUCGAGCACAGCGAUUUUCCUCAUCUCUCUCCAUGUCUCACCGAAAGGAGCGAAACCAAUGUCAUUAAAGUUGUAAGUAAACAACCUUGCUCCGACCGUCUUGGGACGGCUACAAGUCUCAAGAUCAUGAGUCUUGAGCACUUCCUCAGCUCCUUCUUUUGAGGAGAUAAUGAUCACAGGGACUACCCCAAAACGGAGAAGCAUCACCGGUCCAUAUUCUUGGGAGAAUUUGUGAAGAGAUUUGUGAAGAAAUCUUCCAAGUUGGUGCAAGUUUCCGAUGAUUGGAAGACCCUUGGGUCCCGGAGGGAGCUUCCCUUUCGUUGAUGAAAGCUUUUUAAAGAAGAUCAAAGAGAUAAGGAAGAGUAAGAGGAAACAAAGAAAGGUAGACAUUUAUUUUUGGGUCGGUUACUUUCUUCUGAUUUGUGUUUGAAGUGAAGAGUAAUUAGUGAGUUCUCAAAUACUUCAAUAUAUAGAGCCAUGGAGGCAAUGCAUGUGGUUGGGCUUUGACUAAAUCAAAGAUUCUUUUUUUUUUCUUUUGUGAGUUACCUGUUGAAUCUCUUAUAUUAUAAAUCACACGUUCAAAUAAGAAAAAUGUUAAUUUAUAUUAAUAUAGAAAUGCUAUAAGCUUUUCUAUUGUCUACUAAUUGGUUUUGAGUUAAGAACCAAUAAUUUUGUACUUCCUAUAUUAUAGAUUGUUGUGUAACAUAUAAGGGGUAAACGAUAGUAUAUUUGGAUGGUUAUAUAUAUGUUGUAUUGUAUUGGUCGAAAAAUUGACUACUCUAUCGUUAUCAUAAGAUAAAGCUCAAGCCUUCACAAGUGGCGUUCGAUUAUUGCUAUAUCUCUCUCCAUUAAGGAAGCUCAACUACCAGACUCAAUAAUACCAGACUCCAUUAUUGCUAUAUCUCUCUCCAAAGUGAUCCAGUUAAUCACUCUUUUUAUAAAAGCAAACUCUCUAUAAUUUUGUAUUAAUUUGUUUUGUGUAUGUAACCUGCCUCUGUAAAUUAUCAUCAUUAAUUUAGUACAAUGAACCUUUCAAAAACAAAAGAAACAAGAAGGUGAAAGUGUGUGUUUGUAUGGGCAAUAUGAGGUUUACCGCGUCUACGAGUCCUUGGUCAAACAACAUCGAGGUAAAUUGUAUGUGAAGACUGUGAUAAUAGAAUAUGAUCUAUUAUCACAGUCUUCAUAACAGGAAGCUAGUUCACACUAUAAAGAUCCACAUCAAACGUGGUUGAGUCUCUCAUCAUCACCCUCUCCAUCACCAUCACCAUUAUCAUGAGUAUUAAGGCUUAGUAUCGCUUCUCUGCUUUUAUAUUUAGUAGUACUUUCUUCAUCCCCAAGAAAUUUUAUAAACUUAGUCAUGUUUGCUGCUGUAUUUUGAAUGCUUAGUAAAUCCAUAAUUACUUCUGUAAAAUGUUACCAUAGGUUAGAAAAAAAUAAAACCAAACAAAAGUUAAUAUAUAGCAAAGAGACAGGCUUCUCUGAAUCACUAAACAUUUAUUCACUCCCUCUAUUUCCAUUGGAGACUAAGAGCAUUUAUCAGUUUAGAUUAAAUAAAACAAUUUCACAUAUCUCAAAGAUAUAAGCAUUAUGAACCUGAAUAUAUACUUUACUUCACGAUACAAGCCAGUCAGUAUAAACGUAAAACAAAAACCAAAUGAAAACCAAACCAAUAACAAAUGAGGCAAACAUACAAGUCCUGAUCUCAUAUAUAUAGUAUGGAUGUGUAUAUAUUAUUGUAUUUGUUUACAAGUGAUGACGAGUUGGUACGAGCUCAAGAGGGACUUUCUUGGCGAUAUUUAAAGCUCCGAUUUCGUCCAUGUCAAUGUCUGCAAUGGUCAUUCCAUCAGGCAAACUCCAAUUGAAGUAGUGUGGCGAAUCAAGCACAAAGAAAGCAAUAAACUUAAGGAGAGAAAUCGCAAAUUGAGGCAAACACUCGUUUAGGGUUUUCUUAUUAUUUGUAUGAAUGAAUAAUUACAAAUCAUAAGCGUUGUAUUUAUAGCUUCAAAAAUCCGACUCCUAGAUCCUUUAACCUGUUACAUUCCUCAGUUAAUUCUAGCAGGGUCCCUUUAGAAUAUUUUGUCACUUAGUAGUAAAGAAGGUUAAGAAGGCCUAGCUCGACAAUGGUGGUUCCCAAGGCCAUCCCGGGACAGCUCCUACGAUCAGAUCCAAAGUGCAAGAGCUCGAAAUGCUGACCUCUGUAGUUGAUUGAGGUAUUCAAAAAUCUCUCGGGAAUGAAUUCUUCAGGGCUAGUCCAACAUUUGGGAAUGGCGUAAGUGUUGACUUGGAUCAUGGUGUUCUUGGGAAUAUAAUGUUGUAGCCUUGAAUCUUGAUGUCAGCCAUUGUUAGUCUUGGGAGCAAGAGAGGAGCAGGUGGGUGUAAUCUGAAUGUUUCCUCGAUCACAAGCUUCAAGUACUCAACUUUCUCUAGAUCUUCUUCGGUGAUUCUCUCUUUGUUGGAUCCGAGUGUAGUUCGAAUCUCUUCUUGGAGUUUAUUAAUCACUCUCGGAUGUCUUGUUAGGUCUGUCAUUGUCCAUAUCAUCGUGAUUACUCCUGCGUUCACUCCGCCAAAAACACAUCCUGAAUAUGUAACAUACCUCGUAAAUACACUUUAUAAUUCUGAUUUUAAAAGAGAAUCGAAAAUAACGUGACAAAUAAGAUAUCUAUCUGGUGAACCAAAAUACAAAAAGUUAUACAUAUCUAUACAUCAAAAAGUAUUUGUCUCAAAUACUAUUCCAGUUUAACUUGCUCUCCAAAUCACCUCCAAUAGAAACAUUAAAAAAUGGUACUAAGAGAUUUAUUCACACUCACUGACAUGACUCCUUUGAGAUGAUCGUGAGUGAUAUUGAAAGAACCCGAUUUGGUGGGUUUAUUAAUUAUAUCCAACAUGGCACUGACGAGGUCUGAUUGAUCUUCAGGUUUUGCAUUCUUUAAAUGAUCAUCGAUCACAUGUUGAAAAAGAUUAUUGAGUUUUUCAAAGCCUUUGUUCAGCCUCGAAUGCUUACCGGAGAUCCGGUCUAUAAGCCAUCCGAGAGCCGUGGGGAAGAAGUCAGUGAUUGCCAAAGUGCCUACGUUGGUCUCCGACUCUAUCACCAUCUCUUCUACUCUCUCCAUGUCGAUGAAACUGCACUCGCGGAAGUUGUGUCCAAAGGCGAGUCUAAAUAUGAUACCAGCCGUGAAGGAGAAUAAGACUUUCCCCAAAUCCACUAAGGUUUCUGUUUGAGAAGAAUUUGUUAGUUUCUUGACCAGAAAGUCACUCUCUUCCUCUCUGAUAUACUUAAAAACCUUUUGCUUUUUGGGACUAAAUAGCUCGAGACCAACAAGCUUUUUCAUCUCUCGCCAGUCCUCACCAUGCUGAGCGAAACCAAUGUCUUUGAAGUUGUAAGAAAACAACUUGGUCGUUACCAACUUAGGUCGGCCACAAGUCUCAAGAUCAUGAGUCCUAGCUGCUUCUCUGGAGGAGAACACGACCACAGGAACGACCCCAAAGUGGAGAAGCAUCAUUGGUCCGUGUUCUAAGGAGAGAUUGUGAAGAGAUUUGUGAAGAAAGUUUUCAAGCUGGUGAAAGUUUCCUAUGAUUGGAAGAUCUGUAGGUCCCGGAGGAAGAGUCCUGUUUGAAGGUGAAAGCUUUUUAAAGAUGAAUAAAGAGAGAGGGAAGAGGAAGACGAAAGCUAGGAAGAAACUCAUUAUUCUUGUUUUGUUUUCUAGCUCUCUUUUCUCUGUAUUUCAGGUGAAGAGCAUAUUUGUUCUCAAAGAGGCAGUAUUAAAAGCAAUGCAUACGGUUAUGUUUUUUUGUACUAAAUCAAAGUGUUUUUACUAUUACUUUAGAAAAUGUUGAAUUCAGGAACUUUCUCAAGGCAUAAUAUCUUGUUGCUGUGAUUAAUGGGUGGUGAAGGAGAGGUCCCAAAAAAACAAUUUAGAUAUAAAGACCUUUCUCUGACCAAACCAACAACAUAACGUGGCGAUCAAAAAGCUAAAUAUGUUUUCUUUUUUUAUGGAACAGAUUUGUGUAACCACCAAACAUCCCUUUGUGGAUCCAAACGAACUAACUGACCCAAGUCAAUUCAAGUUUCCAAAUUUAUUUUUUUUUGGUGCAACGAAAGUUUCUAAACUUAAAACCACUUCUUCUACCAUAUUAUGCAGGGCCUUUUAAAAUUCUAGUAUUAACGAUAUUUCAGCUUCUUCUUUAAAAUAUGAUAACUUUUAUUGCUAAUUAAAAUUAAAAUCUUAGUUAUAAAAAUGAUUUUAACGUAGUGAAAUGAUAAUAUAAAAUUACAGUUUUUCAAAUUUACUGUUUUAUGUUUCAUAAAUAAAAACGUUUUUGGUCCUACUAAUUAUAUAAUUCAGUUCAAUCUUUGAAGACCAUUAGAGAAGUUUGACUCCAAGAUUUAGUAUUUGGGAAUGUAUUUUACAAGUAACUAAGUUCUGAUCAUGAUCUUUGAAACCAAUUUUAUUAUAAACUAUGAGUAAUGAGUUUUGACUACUAUACUAAACUAAGCCUUUUUUUUCUUCUUCUUAAAGCUUGCGGAAGCAGUCACUUUAAUGUCGUGUCAACUUCUUUUUGGUUUGUAUUGUCAACUAUGUUAAGUCAGCAUAACACGAUUUUUUUUAGUCAAAAGACCAUUUCAGUAAAUAAACAAUGAACGAUAACAGUUUUAGAUUAAGAUUAUUGAAGACAUUACUGAAACAUUAUUAGAUCACAAGACAGGAUAAGCGUAAAACAAGUAGAAACACACAACCAAACCGAUAGUAAGUAGACAAACAUAUAGAAAUCUGCAUCUUAUUAAAAUGAUUACAUGAUUCACCAGCGAUGAAGAGUUGGUAAGAGCUCUAGAGGAACUUUCUUGGCGAUGACGAAAGCUCCGUCUUCUUCCAUGUCAAUGUCUUUGAUGGUCAUUCCCUCAGGCAAACUCCAAUCGAAGAAGUAAAGAAGGUUAAGAAGGCCGAGCUCGACGAUGGUGAUCCCCGUGCCCAUCCCAGGACAAAUCCUACGUCCGGCUCCAAACGGCAAAAGCUCAAAAUGCUUUCCUUUGUAUUCGAUAGGGUUAUCGACAAACCUCUCGGGGAUGAACUCCUCGGGUUUGGUCCAGUAUUUGGGAUCACGUCCUAUCGUGUAAGUGUUGAUUUGGAUCAUGGUGUUCUUGGGGAUGUUGUAGCCUUGAAUCUUGAUGUCGGACAUUGUUAGUCUUGGAAGCAAAAGAGGAGCUGCUGGAUGCAGUCUGAACGUUUCCUGGAUCACUAGCUUCAAGUACUCAACUUUCUCUAGAUCUUCUUCUGUGAUUCUCUCUUUGUUGGAUCCGAGUGUUGCUCGAAUCUCUUCUUGGAGCUUCUUCAUGAUUCUAGGGUGUCUGCUUAGCUCUGUCAUCGUCCAUAUCAUCGUGAUGGCUCCCGCGUUCACUCCAGCCAAAAACACAUCCUAAUCAAAUGACAUAUAGAUUAUAAUUCAUGCUUUUUAUUUUCUUAAUAGAGGAUAUCAAAAAUCCAUAUAUACCAAGUCAUUAAAUAAAUGGACUUGUUGUCAAAACGAGAUAAUUGUCUGUGUCUUUAUUUACUUGCUUCCCAAGCUAUAAUUAUUUUCCUUAUUUAUAUAUAUAAUAACUCGAUCGUACUCACCGACAUGACUCCUUUGAGAUGGUCAUCGGUGACUUUAAAAGAAUCGGGUUUUGUGGGUUUAUUGAUCAUAUCCAACAUGACACUGAUGAUGUCCGAGUGAUCUUGGGGUUGUCCAGUCUUCAAAUGAUCAUCGAUCACAUGCUCAAAGAAAUUGGUGAGUUUAGCAAAGGCUUUCUUGACCCUUGAAUGCUGACCGGAGAUCCGGUCUAUGAGCCAUCCCGCAGGGAAGAAGUCGGCGAACGCCAAGGAACCAAGGUUAGUCUCUGACUCAAGCACCAACUCUUCUACUCUCUCCAUAUCGACAAAAUCACACUCGUGGAAGUUCUGUCCAAAAGCUAGUCUACAAAUGAUGCUGGCCGUGAAGGAGAAAAUGACUUUCCUCAGAUUAACCGAUGAUGAGGUUUGUGUCUCAUCAGC